CAGUCGCCGCGGUAAUAUGUAGGUGGCAAGCGUUGUCCGGAAUUAUUGGGCGUAAAGGGCUCGCAGGCGGUUUCUUAAGUCUGAUGUGAAAGCCCCCGGCUCAACCGGGGAGGGUCAUUGGAAACUGGGAAACUCGAGUGCAGAAGAGGAGAAUGGAAUUCCACGUGUAGCGGUGAAAUGCGUAGAGAUGUGGAGGAACACCAGUGGCGAAGGCGACUCUCUGGUCUGUAACUGACGCUGAGGAGCGAAAGCGUGAGGAGCGAACAGGAUUAGAUACCCCAGUAGUCCCUGUCUCUUAUAC
rnacentral:rRNA from 1 species